CUGGCGGCGCGCCUAACACAUGCAAGUCGAACGGACUUAGAGAGCUUGCUCUUAAGUUAGUGGCGGACGGGUGAGUAACACGUGAGCAACCUGCCUUUCAGAGGGGGACAACAGUUGGAAACGACUGCUAAUACCGCAUAAGACCACGGGAUGGCAUCAUUCUGCGGUCAAAGAUUUAUCGCUGAAAGAUGGGCUCGCGUCCGAUUAGAUAGUUGGUGAGGUAACGGCCCACCAAGUCGACGAUCGGUAGCCGGACUGAGAGGUUGAACGGCCACAUUGGGACUGAGACACGGCCCAGACUCCUACGGGAGGCAGCAGUGGGGGAUAUUGGACAAUGGGGGGCCAACCCUGAUCCAGCGACGCCGCGUGAGGGAAGAAGGUUUUCGGAUUGUAAACCUCUGUUGACAGGGAAGAAAAUGACGGUACCUGUUUAGAAAGCCACGGCUAACUACGUGCCAGCCGCAGC
rnacentral:rRNA from 1 species